rnacentral:rRNA from 1 species
GCAAGUCUACGCCCACUUCGGGGGGAGCGGCAGACGGGUGAGUAACACGUGGGGAUCUACCUAUCUCUACGGAACAACACAUAGAAAUGUGUGCUAAUACCGUAUACGCCCUUCGGGGGAAAGAUUUAUCGGAGAUAGAUGAGCCCGCGUUUGAUUAGCUAGUUGGUGAGGUAAUGGCUCACCAAGGCGACGAUCAAUAGCUGGUCUGAGAGGAUGAUC